CACGUAGGCACCAAGCGUUGUCCGGAUUUAUUGGGCGUAAAGAGCUCGUAGGCGGUUCAGUAAGUCGGGUGUGAAAACUCUGGGCUCAACCCAGAGACGCCACCCGAUACUGCUGUGACUUGAGUACGGUAGGGGAGUGGGGAAUUCCUGGUGUAGCGGUGAAAUGCGCAGAUAUCAGGAGGAACACCAGUGGCGAAGGCGCCACUCUGGGCCGUAACUGACGCUGAGGAGCGAAAGCGUGGGGAGCGAACAGG
rnacentral:rRNA from 1 species